rnacentral:rRNA from 1 species
UCCUGGCUCAGGACGAACGCUGGCGGCGCGCCUAACACAUGCAAGUCGAACGGAGUUAUUUUCUUCACUCCGAGCUUUUUGCCGGUUAGCCGGAGCGGCAAUCGGUUUUGCCCAGCAUAAAAAGCAAAACCGAUUGAGGCUCAUAAAGUAAGACUAACACAGAGGGCAGAGAGUUGGGAGUGAAGAAAAUAACUUAGUGGCGAACGGGUGAGUAACGCGUGAGUAACCUGCCCUGGAGUGGGGGACAACAGUUGGAAACGACUGCUAAUACCGCAUAAGCCCACGAUCCGGCAUCGGAUUGAGGGAAAAGGAUUUAUUCGCUUCAGGAUGGACUCGCGUCCAAUUAGCUAGUUGGUGAGGUAACGGCCCACCAAGGCGACGAUUGGUAGCCGGACUGAGAGGUUGAACGGCCACAUUGGGACUGAGACACGGCCCAGACUCCUACGGGAGGCAGCAGUGGGGGAUAUUGCACAAUGGGGGAAACCCUGAUGCAGCGACGCCGCGUGGAGGAAGAAGGUUUUCGGAUUGUAAACUCCUGUCGUUAGGGACGAUAAUGACGGUACCUAACAAGAAAGCACCGGCUAACUACGUGCCAGCAGCCGCGGUAAAACGUAGGGUGCAAGCGUUGUCCGGAAUUACUGGGUGUAAAGGGAGCGCAGGCGGACCGGCAAGUUGGAAGUGAAAACUAUGGGCUCAACCCAUAAAUUGCUUUCAAAACUGCUGGCCUUGAGUAGUGCAGAGGUAGGUGGAAUUCCCGGUGUAGCGGUGGAAUGCGUAGAUAUCGGGAGGAACACCAGUGGCGAAGGCGGCCUACUGGGCACCAACUGACGCUGAGGCUCGAAAGUGUGGGUAGCAAACAGGAUUAGAUACCCUGGUAGUCCACACCGUAAACGAUGAUUACUAGGUGUUGGAGGAUUGACCCCUUCAGUGCCGCAGUUAACACAAUAAGUAAUCCACCUGGGGAGUACGACCGCAAGGUUGAAACUCAAAGGAAUUGACGGGGGCCCGCAC